UUGAAACACCGGUUCCCAUACAGUCACUGAAGUUAAGCAAUGUUGAGCCUGGAUAGUACCUAGAUCAGUGACUGGUUUUGAAAACCAGAUGCUGUAAG